rnacentral:rRNA from 1 species
CGUGCUUAACACAUGCAAGUCGAACGAUGAAGGAGGAGCUUGCUCUUCUGGAUUAGUGGCGAACGGGUGAGUAACACGUGAGCAAUCUGCCCUUGACUCUGGGAUAAGCGUUGGAAACGACGUCUAAUACCGGAUACGACCCUCGGAGGCAUCUCCUGGGGGUGGAAAGAAUUUUGGUCAAGGAUGAGCUCGCGGCCUAUCAGCUUGUUGGUGAGGUAAUGGCUCACCAAGGCGACGACGGGUAGCCGGCCUGAGAGGGUGACCGGCCACACUGGGACUGAGACACGGCCCAGACUCCUACGGGAGGCAGCAGUGGGGAAUAUUGCACAAUGGGCGAAAGCCUGAUGCAGCAACGCCGCGUGAGGGACGACGGCCUUCGGGUUGUAAACCUCUUUUAGUAGGGAAGAAGCGAAAGUGACGGUACCUGCAGAAAAAGCACCGGCUAACUACGUGCCAGCAGCCGCGGUAAUACGUAGGGUGCAAGCGUUGUCCGGAAUUAUUGGGCGUAAAGAGCUCGUAGGCGGUUUGUCGCGUCUGCUGUGAAAACCCGAGGCUCAACCUCGGGCCUGCAGUGGGUACGGGCAGACUAGAGUGCGGUAGGGGAGAUUGGAAUUCCUGGUGUAGCGGUGGAAUGCGCAGAUAUCAGGAGGAACACCGAUGGCGAAGGCAGAUCUCUGGGCCGUAACUGACGCUGAGGAGCGAAAGCAUGGGGAGCGAACAGGAUUAGAUACCCUGGUAGUCCAUGCCGUAAACGUUGGGAACUAGAUGUG